AUAGUACUCCCUCCGUCCGGUACUAAGUGUCGCAAAAAAAAUUAGAUAUGAAUGUAUCUACGGUUCUACACACUAAAACGUGUCUAGGCACAUGCGUGCUUAGAAAAAGUUGCGACACUUAAUACCGGAUGGAGGGAGUAGCAU
rfam:Brachypodium distachyon strain Bd21 chromosome 4, whole genome shotgun sequence.